GACAGAGGCCUCGAGCGUUAGGCGGAAUCACUGGGCUUAAAGCGUGUGUAGGCGGAUGCCUAAGUACCUUGUGAAAUCCCCACGGCUCACCCGUGGAACCGCUGGGUAUACUGGGCAUCUUGGGCCAUUCAGGGGCAACUGGAACAAGCGGUGGGGCGGGUGAAAUGCGUAGAUAUCGCUUGGAACGCCGACGGUGAAAAACAGGUUGCUGGGAAUGUGCCGACGCUGA
rnacentral:rRNA from 1 species